rnacentral:misc_RNA from 1 species
CAGGAGAAGAUGUAAGAAAGUUUCUUCAUCGAUGCAUUUCCAGCAAGUGCUUCCUGUUGUUGCGUGUGCUUGAUCUUGAACGUGUUUUCAGACCCAAGUUUCCUAAGGUAUUUGACAAAUUACUCCAGCUGAGAUACCUUGGCUUAAGAUGGACUUACUUAGAGGAACUUCCACCAUUUGUAAGCAACUUGCUUAAACUCCAAACUCUGGAUGUGAAGCACACUUAUAUCAGUACUCUUCCACAUUCUAUCUGGAAAAUGCAACGGCUGCGACAUUUAUACUUAAGCGAGAGCUACCGCAGUAGAUUUGAGCCUAAACCAAGCAGCAGCUCUCUAAGGGAGCUUCAAACAUUGUGGGGUGUGUUCAUAGAUGAGGAGAGCCCUGUGAAGAAUGGUCUGAAAACAUUGUUAAAUCUUCGAAAACUGGGAUUGGCAUGCCGAAUAAUGUUGUCCCAAAAGAAACAGAUGUUGUCGCAAAUUGAGGCUGUGGCUGAUUGGAUUCUGGAACUGAAAGACCUUCAAUCAUUAAGGCUGAGAUCAUUUGAUGAACUUGGUGAACCUUGGUACCUGCCACUAAAAGACUUGUCAAAACUCAAAAGUCUCUCUAGUAUGUACUUGCUGGGAAGGUUAAAAUUUGAGUUUGUUAAAUCUGGAAUUCCUGAAAGCCUCACUUACCUAACAUUGUCAGCAUCACGACUAAAGAUAGAUCCAAUGCAUAUGCUACAACACCUUCACAAUCUGAAAAAGCUCAGAUUGUUCUCGGAUUCAUUUGUAGGAAAAACCAUGUGCUGCUCUUCUGGAAUAUUUCCUCAUCUUCAAGUCCUGAAACUAUGGAACCUGGAGCAUCUAGAGACAUGGAAUAUGACAAAAGGCGCACUGCCAGAACUGACAGACUUAGAGAUUAGAUCCUGCAGGCAAUUGAAGAUGCUUCCCAAGGAAGUGCAAUGCAUGAAGAAUCUUAAGAUAUUGAGAUUGACAGACAUGCUUUUCCAGAAGAGCAUGCACUGCUAUUCUGGAAGCUUUCCUCAACUAUUAGUGCUGAAACUGGAGAACCUAAAGCAUCUACAGAUAUGGACCGUGGGCAAAAGCGCACUCCCAAAACUGAGUCACUUGGAGAUUAAAUCCUGCAGCCAAUUGAGGAUGCUUCCCAAGGGAUUGCAACACAUGAGGAAUCUUAAGAUUUUUAGGGUGAAAAACAUGCCACAGGAAUUCACUUAUAGGAUUGGAGAAAGUCAAGGCCUGGAUUGGUAUAAAAUUGCACAUGUGCCUACAAGGGAGAUCAUUUGACUUACCAGUACCUGCGCGUACAGUGUUCCUUAGCUUUUCCUGUUACUCUGCAUUGCUUAGCAUAUUUGGCAAUCUACUGAAAUGGAAUUUAAUUUUGAAUACUCUAGCUGAAAUGCUGAGGCUGAGUGCUGUUACAUGCGUUUCCCUUUGCAUGAUGUGCAAGCAUUGUAAUAAAGUUGUAUGUGCAUCUGUAUUAUUUUCCACACAUCAAAACCAUUAUUAUUAUAUCAAUGUAAU